rnacentral:rRNA from 1 species
UACGAAGGGUGCAAGCGUUACUCGGAAUUACUGGGCGUAAAGCGUGCGUAGGUGGUUCGUUAAGUCUGAUGUGAAAGCCCCGGGCUCAACCUGGGAACUGCAUUGGAUACUGGCGAUCUGGAGUGCGGUAGAGGGUGGCGGAAUUCCCGGUGUAGCAGUGAAAUGCGUAGAUAUCGGAAGGAACACCUGUGGCGAAAGCGGCUCACUGGACCAUUACUGACGCUGAGGCACGAAAGCUAGGGGAGCAAACAGG